rnacentral:rRNA from 1 species
CAGCCGCCGCGGUAAUACGUAGGUGGCAAGCGUUGUCCGGAAUUAUUGGGCAUAAAGGGCUCGCAGGCGGUUUCUUAAGUCUGAUGUGAAAGCCCCCGGCUCAACCGGGGAGGGUCAUUGGAAACUGUGAAACUUGAGUGCAGAAGAGGAGAGUGGAAUUCCACGUGUAGCGGUGAAAUGCGUAGAGAUGUGGAGGAACACCAGUGGCGAAGGCGACUCUCUGGUCUGUAACUGACGCUGAGGAGCGAAAGCGUGGGGAGCGAACAAGAUUAGAUACCCCGGUAGUCCCUGUCUCUUAUAC